GCUUGGUGCUUGCACCGAGCGGAUGAGUUGCGAACGGGUGAGUAACGCGUAGGUAACCUGCCUCUUAGCGGGGGAUAACUAUUGGAAACGAUAGCUAAUACCGCAUAAAAGACGAUAUCGCAUGAUAUUGAUUUGAAAGGUGCAAAUGCAUCACUAAGAGAUGGACCUGCGUUGUAUUAGCUAGUUGGUGAGGUAACGGCUCACCAAGGCAACGAUACAUAGCCGACCUGAGAGGGUGAUCGGCCACACUGGGACUGAGACACGGCCCAGACUCCUACGGGAGGCAGCAGUAGGGAAUCUUCGGCAAUGGGGGCAACCCUGACCGAGCAACGCCGCGUGAGUGAAGAAGGUUUUCGGAUCGUAAAGCUCUGUUGUAAGAGAAGAACGAGUGUGAGAGUGGAAAGUUCACACUGUGACGGUAACUUACCAGAAAGGGACGGCUAACUACGUGCCAGCAGCCGCGGUAAUACGUAGGUCCCGAGCGUUAUCCGGAUUUAUUGGGCGUAAAGCGAGCGCAGGCGGUUAGAUAAGUCUGAAGUUAAAGGCUGUGGCUUAACCAUAGUACGCUUUGGAAACUGUUUAACUUGAGUGCAGAAGGGGAGAGUGGAAUUCCAUGUGUAGCGGUGAAAUGCGUAGAUAUAUGGAGGAACACCGGUGGCGAAAGCGGCUCUCUGGUCUGUAACUGACGCUGAGGCUCGAAAGCGUGGGGAGUAAA
rnacentral:rRNA from 1 species